GAUUGAUUGAUUACAGCAAAAGCUGUGCCCUCUGAACCUGGCUGCAGCCAAAUAAAACUGUUUUCUGCUAUCUUCGGUGUCUUGCCUUCUUUGUCCCUACAAUAUUUUUGGUGACCCGGAUGGGACAGAGGAGGUAAGGAAGGCUAUUCUGCCUCUCUUGUCUCUGGGGACCGGCUUCCCUGGGGCGAUGAGGGACAGCAGUCCCCUUGGCGCCCAGGCCACUCUUGGCCUGAAGGAUGAUUGACUCACCCAGCGUCCUGGGGCUGCCACCCCAGAGCACAAUGGAACCCACAGGCAGCAGGAACCAGAAUUAGGGUUUUGGAGCACUGCCCAGCUGAACAGGAGCCUGCUCAAGAUGAUGCCACAUGUUUCAAAUAACGGCUGGACCAGGACUCUGUGAGAAAUCUGCAGGAAAAACUCUCAUUGACAACGUUCACAGAAUACCCUGCUUCCCGCUUCCCAUCAUUAAUCCAGUCUUCUGAAAAUCAAGACAACCAAGACAAAGAAUGCCUUGAAGGAUGUAUGGCCAUGCAUUUGGACUAAGACAUUAGAAUUUCUAAGAAUUUGAAGCAUCAAAGCAGUUAUAGGAGGUGAUAAAUCAUUAGCCAAGCCCCAUGCAAAGUGCCUGGCACUUCGACAGCAGCUGGCAUGAUGAAGGAAGACAUGGAGAACAGUCACAUCAUCCUCCCAGGUGGUGCUAUUUUUCACACUGUUACUCAAGACUCAAUCUAUUCUGGUCAACCAGGUUGAAAGUAUUUAAAAAAAAUUUUUUUUAAAUGGCAGACUCUUUUUCUUGGAAUUAUUUCCUAACUAAUACUGUAUAACAAUUAUUCACGUACCAAUUACAUUGAUUUGGUAUUGUAA